rnacentral:rRNA from 1 species
UACGUAGGGCGCGAGCGUUGUCCGGAAUUAUUGGGCGUAAAGAGCUCGUAGGCGGCCUGUCGCGUCAAUUGUGAAAGCCCGGGGCUUAACUCCGGGUCUGCAUUCGAUACGGGCUAGCUAGAGUGUGGUAGGGGAGAUCGGAAUUCCUGGUGUAGCGGUGAAAUGCGCAGAUAUCAGGAGGAACACCGGUGGCGAAGGCGGAUCUCUGGGCCAUUACUGACGCUGAGGAGCGAAAGCGUGGGGAGCGAACAGG